ensembl:lncRNA
AUGCUGUGGCGCCCGGGGAUCAGUUGGGGGUUCGGUGCCUUGCUCAAGGGCACCUCAGUCAUGGUUAAUAUGGCAAGCCGAAUUAACAUUAAUAUGGCAAGUCGAACAAACAUUAAUAUGGCAAGCCUGCCAUUCCCAAAGCUCACUCCAGUGCCUGCUCCUCGUAAGCACCUUCCAGAGCCCCCUCCAGUGCCCGCUCCUCGUAAGCUCCUUCCAGAGUUAGCUCCAGUGUUGGCUCAGACCACGCCUUUCCCCCCGAUCCAGAAGAGAAAACUAGUGGUGAGGAGCAGGGUGUUGGCUUGGCCCCAGAGCAAAGCCCAGGAAGGGCUCCCGAUCCCCAGCCAAGUCCAGGAUGGGCUCCUGUUCCCGAGUUAAGCUCAGGAUGGGCUCCUGAUCCCCAAUUCAGCCCAGGAGGAGCUCCUGUUCCCGAGUAUAGCCCAGGAGGGACUCUAUCCCCAGUUCAGCCCAGGAGGGGCUCCUGAUCCCCAGUUCAGCCCUGGGUGGGCUCCCGUUCACGAGUUAAGCCCCUGGUGGACUUCCCGAUUCCCCAUUAAGCCCAGGGUGGGCUCCUGAUUCCCUGUUAAGCCCUGGGAGGGCUCCUGAUCCAGUCAGCCCCAGUGUCGGCUCCAGCCUCAGAGCUCGCUCAAGUGUCCGCUCCGUCCUGCCUAGUUUUCCCCAAGUCAUUUUUUUUUUUUUGGAAAGGGGGUUGGGCAUAUACCCAUGGCCAAGCCAGCCAUAGAGGCCGAGGCGGGGUUGGGGCUGCGGCUGCGGCUUCGGAGGUUGCUCUGCCAUGGCCUUACAAGUCUCUAGAUCUGCCAUGGCCUCUCGGUUCCCUAGAUCUGCCAUGGCCUCCCGAAUCUCCUGAUCCGCCAUGGCCUCCCGAGUCUCCUGAUCCGUCAUGGUGCCCCGAAUGGGUACCAUUCUGGAGGCCCACUGUCCCGUGUCUGUCCUGAGGGACCUCCAGAGUAGAGUGCCCACCCCCCCUUCCCUGUUGGAUGUUGUGUGGUGCGAGGUCACACCUUCCGGGAGGGUGGAGUAAUGUUAGACUCUGUUCCAUGUUUUGUGUAUGUUUUUGCUUGAUGUUGUUUAAUUGUUUCUUCCAGGUGUUCCCCAUCAGUUUCAUCAGUUCCAGGUGUUCCCCGUCUAGUUAAUUUGGUUCCAGGUGUGUCCCAUCCAUGUCUCAUGUAUAAAUAGUAUUUCCUGUGUUCUGUUCAGUGUCCGGUAUUGUUUAUGUCUACACUCUGUGCUACGUGUGAUUCCCUGUGUGAAGAUAAUUAAAAUCCAUGAUUUGUACUCCUGUUCUCCAUGUUCCUUGCUCCGUGCUCCUCACAGUAGCCACCUGUGGCAGGCAAUAGUUAAGUCAAGUCAAGUCAACUUUAUUUGUAUAGCGCUUUAUACAAUAAUGGUUGUCAAAUCAGUUUUACAGUAUUAAACAAAAAUGUGAUGUGAUCUAGGAAAACCCACCACAUGGUGAAAUUUUUACCUUUUUUAGGUUUUGAUACCAUAUGAAAGCAUUUCUAAGACUGUUUUUAUUUCGUCCAUAGCUUGAACAUAACAAAAGUUAUGGCUAUCUGAAGUUGGCUGAUAGCUAUGAUUUUCAGGAAUGGAAUUUUGAGAAAAACAGUUUUCACUUUCACUUCACAGGUUUAACGAGAGCUGUUUGUCAGGAGCACUAUGCUGCAUCAUUACAUAAACAGACUAACGUUAGCCUGAAGAGGACGGUGUCUGUUGUUUAUCAUGGGCAUAGUCUCUGAACUUUUGAUCACCCCUUGUAUGUUUACAUUUAGAAAGUGAGCGCAGCACAACCUUUCACACAGCUGUGCAUAUAUCUGAGCAAGAUCGUUUAAGUGAGCAGCUACUUUAGACUGCGUUUUUUUCCGGCGCUCCGCCAUCUCAUGAUAUAAAAACAUAAAUAAAUUAAAAAAAAACUUUGCGUGCCUAGUUUACACAGGACUGGUGGGAAAUGUGCCUUUAUAUAUAUAUGUUAUGUGGUUUAUUUUGAUAACUCUUCCCAAUGGGGGAAGAUGCAAUAUGCCAGACCCAACAAUGCAGAAGAGCUGAAGGCCACUAUCAGAGCAACCUGGGCUCUCAUAACACCUGAGCAGUGCCACAGACUGAUCGACUCCAUGCCACGCCGCAUUGCUGCAGUAAUUCAGGCAAUAGGAGCCCCAACUAAGUAUUGAGUGCUGUACAUGCUCAUACUUUUCAUUUUUAUACUUUUUAGUUGGCCAAGAUUUCUAAAAAUCCUUCCUUUGUAUUGGUCUUAAGUUAUAUUCUAAUUUUCUGAGAUACUGAAUUUGGGAUUUUCCUUAGUUGUCAGUUAUAGACAUCAAAAUUAAAAGAAAUAAACAUUUGAAAUAUAUCAGUCUGUGUGUAAUGAAUACAUCUAAUAUACAAGUUUCACUUUUUGAAUGGAAUUAGUGAAAUAAAUCAACUUUUUGAUGAUAUUCUAAUUAUAUGACCAGCACCUGUAAUUAACAUUUCUGCAUUUGACAUAGAGAGCAUAGGUCGUAAUUUAAAUAUAUUUUUAAGAUGAAAAAAUGUGGUUUUACAAAUGCUAGAAACAUGGUUUUCAAAGGAAAUAUUGCUAUCAAUUAGCACAAAUAGGUUCCUAACUGAUGACAAGGAAUUAUCAGAGAAGCCAUCAAGUGUUAGACAGUGUUUUAGGUUAUUACAUGCUGAGGUUUUUGGUCCAAUAAUUAAGACCUCUGUUGUUGUUGUUGUUGUUGUUGUUUUUAUUUAUUUAUUUAUUUAUUUAUUUAUUUAUUUAUUUUCAGAAAUAAGUAGUAGGAAAUUACUAGUCAUCCAGUUUUUAUAUCAACUAUUCAUUCCGUUAGUUUAGCAAAUUUGUAUGUUUCAUCAGGCCACGAAGAAAUAUAGAGCUGAGUAUCAUUAGUAUAAAAGUGAAAGCUAACACCAUGUUCCUUGAUGAUUUCUCCCAAGGGUGACAUGUAAAGUGUGAA